rnacentral:rRNA from 1 species
GACGAACGCUGGCGGCGUGCCUAAUACAUGCAAGUUGAGCGCUGAAGGUUGGUACUUGUACCGACUGGAUGAGCAGCGAACGGGUGAGUAACGCGUGGGGAAUCUGCCUUUGAGCGGGGGACAACAUUUGGAAACGAAUGCUAAUACCGCAUAAAACCUUUAAACACAAGUUUUAAGUUUGAAAGAUGCAAUUGCAUCCCUCAAAGAUGAUCCCACGUUGUAUUAGCUAGUUGGUGAGGUAAAGGCCCACCAAGGCGAUGAUACAUAGCCGACCUGAGAGGGUGAUCGGCAACAGUGGGACUGAGACACGGCCCAAACCCCUACGGGAGGCAGCAGUAGGGAAGAGUCGGAAAUGGAUGGAAGUCUGACCGAGCAACGCCGAGUGAGUGAAGAAGGGUGUCGGAUAGUAAAACACGGUUGGUAGAGAAGAACGUUAGUGAGAGUGGAAAGCUCAUCAAGUGACGGUAACUACACAGAAAGGGACGGCUAACUACGUG